rnacentral:rRNA from 1 species
UACAGAGUGUGCGAGCGUUAAUCGGAAUUACUGGGCGUAAAGCGUGCGUAGACGGUUACAUAAGUCGGGUGUGAAAGCCCCGGGCUCAACCUGGGAAUUGCAUUCGAGACUGCGUAGCUAGGGUGCGGAAGAGGGAAGCGGAAUUUCCGGUGUAGCGGUGAAAUGCGUAGAUAUCGGAAGGAACACCAGUGGCGAAAGCGGCUUCCUGGUCCAGCACCGACGUUCAGGCACGAAAGCGUGGGGAGCAAACAGG